rnacentral:lncRNA from 1 species
GUACUCAUAUACCCAUUGAAAGCCCCGGUGGAGACGACGCAGAAGUCUUCCGAAACAGAAAAGGGGUCUUCUCCAUAAAUGUGCAGGUGGUCUCGGGGCCAGAGCUUCAGUUUUUUUGACGUCGUGGCAAGCUGGCCUGGCUCUGUCCACGACAGUCGAUUUUUUGCUAACAGCAGAGUAAGUGUCAUGUAUGAGCAGAAGGCAGUAACUGGCAUCCUCCUUGGUGAUCAAGGUUACGCAUGCUCGCCCUGUUUGAUGACUCCACUGAGGAACUCUCGAACAACUGCAGAGAAAAGGUACAACAGGAGUCACAUUAGAACGAGGAAUUCCAUUGAGCGGACAAGAUUGCUUGCACUUUGCGGGAUCCCAUCCCUAUUGGCGAUGAACCAGAGCCUAAAGAUGCAGGUGUGGAAUUGCACGAACCUGACUCACCUCUGUGCACCCUACAUCGAAGGCACCUUAUCCAGCGUUGCUUCAAAGUGCCCAAAGUGAAGAUGACAGCGAUAUGGACAUUGUGUAGAGGUAAAACUGCAAUUAAUGAUGCUGCGCAAUUAAAAGUGGAGUAGUGUUUGUGUAUCAGACAGGGACGAUUCUUUAGGAUAAAUGAAAUUGACUUAAUUCAUUUAUGUGGCAUGUGGCCAGGUUUAAUAUUGCCGCCUCCUCUGAGGAAAAUUGCUUUAUUUAUUAAUCUUGCGGUACGAGGUCACGUUCAGUAAUGCCUCCUGGCCUGAGGAGUUCAAGCUGCGUUGUUAAAAUUGCUUGCUUGAGGUUAUGGACCCUCUCUUUAGCUUUUAAAACACGCACCUUCAUUCUGUGCAGUGUACGCCGUUUGCGCCGUUCGUCGGCAUAUUGCUGCUUUUUCAAAGCAUGUUCGCCUUCUAUUAUUUUCAUUCUUGCCUCGUGCUCAGUACGUUUUUGAUUUCUCUCGUCGUUUACAGCACGAAGGCGAGCCUCCAGCUCCGUCGACAAUGCUGUGUCGACAGCGGCAAGACGGCCACCUUGGCGACGGCGGACAACUGGCUGAGCUCCUGAACCUUGGUCCACGAAAGCUUCUUCUCUGUUUUGGCUGCACGACGGCCUUGAGGUUGCCGUUUCUGCAGGCAGUCCACCACUGCUUAGAGGAGGUGCUGGCGAGCUCUGCUGUGUUGUAGCCUCAGCAAACUCAUUUUCUGCCUGGCUUAGGUCACGGUUCAUCACGAACUCUGGAAGUAACAGUGUUGAUAAAAGUUUCACAGCGUUUUUGAAAAAAAAAAACUAA